rnacentral:rRNA from 1 species
AAAUUGAAGAGUUUGAUCAUGGCUCAGAUUGAACGCUGGCGGCAGGCCUAACACAUGCAAGUCGAACGGUAACAGGAAGAAGCUUGCUUCUUUGCUGACGAGUGGCGAACGGGUGAGUAAUGUCUGGGAAACUGCCUGAUGGAGGGGGAUAACUACUGGAAACGGUAGCUAAUACCGCAUAACGUCGCAAGACCAAAGAGGGGGACCUUCGGGCCUCUUGCCAUCGGAUGUGCCCAGAUGGGAUUAGCUAGUAGGUGGGGUAACGGCUCACCUAGGCGACGAUCCCUAGCUGGUCUGAGAGGAUGACCAGCCACACUGGAACUGAGACACGGUCCAGACUCCUACGGGAGGCAGCAGUGGGGAAUAUUGCACAAUGGGCGCAAGCCUGAUGCAGCCAUGCCGCGUGUAUGAAGAAGGCCUUCGGGUUGUAAAGUACUUUCAGCGGGGAGGAAGGGAGUAAAGUUAAUACCUUUGCUCAUUGACGUUACCCGCAGAAGAAGCACCGGCUAACUCCGUGCCAGCAGCCGCGGUAAUACGGAGGGUGCAAGCGUUAAUCGGAAUUACUGGGCGUAAAGCGCACGCAGGCGGUUUGUUAAGUCAGAUGUGAAAUCCCCGGGCUCAACCUGGGAACUGCAUCUGAUACUGGCAAGCUUGAGUCUCGUAGAGGGGGGUAGAAUUCCAGGUGUAGCGGUGAAAUGCGUAGAGAUCUGGAGGAAUACCGGUGGCGAAGGCGGCCCCCUGGACGAAGACUGACGCUCAGGUGCGAAAGCGUGGGGAGCAAACAGGAUUAGAUACCCUGGUAGUCCACGCCGUAAACGAUGUCGACUUGGAGGUUGUGCCCUUGAGGCGUGGCUUCCGGAGCUAACGCGUUAAGUCGACCGCCUGGGGAGUACGGCCGCAAGGUUAAAACUCAAAUGAAUUGACGGGGGCCCGCACAAGCGGUGGAGCAUGUGGUUUAAUUCGAUGCAACGCGAAGAACCUUACCUGGUCUUGACAUCCACAGAACUUUCCAGAGAUGGAUUGGUGCCUUCGGGAACUGUGAGACAGGUGCUGCAUGGCUGUCGUCAGCUCGUGUUGUGAAAUGUUGGGUUAAGUCCCGCAACGAGCGCAACCCUUAUCCUUUGUUGCCAGCGGUCCGGCCGGGAACUCAAAGGAGACUGCCAGUGAUAAACUGGAGGAAGGUGGGGAUGACGUCAAGUCAUCAUGGCCCUUACGACCAGGGCUACACACGUGCUACAAUGGCGCAUACAAAGAGAAGCGACCUCGCGAGAGCAAGCGGACCUCAUAAAGUGCGUCGUAGUCCGGAUUGGAGUCUGCAACUCGACUCCAUGAAGUCGGAAUCGCUAGUAAUCGUGGAUCAGAAUGCCACGGUGAAUACGUUCCCGGGCCUUGUACACACCGCCCGUCACACCAUGGGAGUGGGUUGCAAAAGAAGUAGGUAGCUUAACCUUCGGGAGGGCGCUUACCACUUUGUGAUUCAUGACUGGGGUGAAGUCGUAACAAGGUAACCGUAGGGGAACCUGCGGUUGGAUCACCUCCUUACCUUAAAGAAGC